UUUGGCAGGGUAGGCAGUGCCUACCUUGCCUACCCUGACUGCACGUCACUGAUGUGCAGAGGUUGGAGGAGGAGAUCCGGAAGCUGCAGGAGGCCAAGGAUGAAGCCGAGCAGAAGCUGUGGGACGUGAGUCUGGAGUCCCAGCAGAUCUAUGAGAACUUGGAGGAGGCUCACCACUGGUUUCGCUCUAACUUCGACGUCCCGAGGACCAGGACUCCGGGGGGGGGGGGGGAACCACAGCAGAGCAGGCUGCGUUCCCCAAGCAGCGCUAAAGAGGGCGAGCGCACCGCCUCUUCCAGACACCGCAGGAAGCCGGCGAGCGACAGUGUGGAACCAGACUGGCAGAGAUGGACCUCCACCAUGCACCGCUGGGAGACCAAGAGAGAGCUGGCACGCAUCGCCAAAGGAUACAAACCUGGACAGAGCAGCACAAUGACACACACACACUGACACACUCACACAUAUGCUUGCACUUUCAAGCAUAAACAUUCACACAUAAAGGACAUCAUCUAAUCACUGUGGAAAGAGGAGCGUUCUUUCGAUUUAUCGCGAACUGUUGCUCUUUGGGUGUUUGAGGAGAAAAAAAUAUCACGGUCUGUGAGACCUUAGCUGUAUUUUCGGUCUGUGAGACCCUAAGCUGAGUGUGCGGUUUUUGAGGCCUUAGUCGUGUAUUGUUGGUCCUGUUACCUAGUAGCGCUAAAACCCUGUUUUAUUAUCGUUCUGUCCGAUACACUGUAUCGUGUAUUAUUUGUUCGCCAGUUGUUCACUCGCACAGGGGGGGGCUCUGGGAUAGGCAAGCUGCCCAUGGGCUUACACACCAUCACGCAGUAAACCUCCUGUUUUGCACACUAGGUAAGGAACGGGUGCCACCCCAUGUAUGUUUAGUUAGGGAUAAUUAUGGUUUAGUAGACAGGGCACUUUUCUGGUAUUUUCUUUGGCACCGUUCGUUGUUCCAUUGUUUCUCCCCUGUGACGAAAUAAAUAUCUAUAUUUCCGA